GACGAACCGUGCGAACGUUGUUCGGAAUCACUGGGCUUAAAGGGCGCGUAGGCGGGCUGCCGCGUUCGGGGUGAAAUCCUCCCGCUCAACGGGAGAACGGCCUCGGAUACGGGCGGCCUGGAGGGGGGUAGGGGCAGGCGGAACGCUGGGUGGAGCGGUGAAAUGCGUUGAUAUCCAGCGGAACUCCGGUGGCGAAGGCGGCCUGCUGGAUCCUCACUGACGCUGAGGCGCGAAAGCCAGGGGAGCGAACGGG
rnacentral:rRNA from 1 species